rnacentral:lncRNA from 1 species
CGGCGCCUGAGAACAGUAAUCCAGUGCUCCCUUCGUGAGGGAGGGUCCAGCUCUGCCAGGAGAGAGCCGCUUCUCACCCCCACCCCAGCUCCAGACAACUGAAAUUGUGCAAAAGCCUGAAAGGGACCUUGGACUCUCAGGUGCCUCAGUUAUGAAAUAAUCACAAAGCUUAUCUCACCCUGAUUCCCAGCCCUCUGCCUUCCACAUUGGGAAAGGAGGCAGGAUCCAGUGACAAGGAACAGGCCAGACUGUCUUCGGUAACGCCUGAACAGUACCAGCAGAGGAUAAGCACAUGGACAUUGUCCUCUCCUGGCCCAUCAGGACCACAUCCAGCUGCUUUGGAGCCAAUAAGCCACAACAUCCCUUCCAGCUAGAAGAAGCUAUGAAUGACAGAGAUCUCCACAUCCUCAGCACCCCAUAAAGAAUUAUGGGGAUAGGUGUCUCUCAGAGGGAAAUGAGACAGGAGAAUAGGGUGUGGCAAAUCUGGCUGAAGGAGUAGGUGUGGCCUGUUAAUUACAGAAUCCCAAGACACAUCACAGAACAAUCCACAAAGGCCUGCAUGUGGACUUCUCCCAAGAACUCCAGGAGGCUUUCCAUAGGAUAACCUAGUCCUGACAUCGACCUGCGGACUGGAUAUACAAAAAGGACAGACCACACUGAGUUUUUGCCACUGUGUUCUCUCAUGCAUGGUGGCUGACCCUCAUGCUGUAGGGUAGACUUCUUUUCCUACUUUUACUUGGCUCAAACUCAUUCCGCAGAGCCUGUUACUUUUCCUACCUUUAAUAAAAUUUUGUUGCCAUGUGCACUUGUCUUGACCAAUUCUCUGCUCAGGACAGAAAGAACCUAAAAAACACCUCCAGAAGGAGAAUUCAGCAAUUUUAACCCAGAAACAAACCAGCACUCCAAACAAAUUUUCAAAGGUAUCCUAGAAAGACACAAUGAAGCAAAUAAUGACAAAAGGUCUAAUGGAAUGAAGACACCAGGCAGGGAGACCAGAAGAGGAAGAAAGGGAAUCAUCAAGAGGAAAAUAGUACAAGGACAGGAAAAAGUCAACACACUUCAGUAAUAACUGAAUGUGAAUUGGCUCAAUUCCUCAGUCGAAAGACACAGAGCAGCAGAACGGAUCAAGAAACAAAACCAAAAGUUACCCUAUAUGCAAGAAAUACAUUUAAUCUGAAAAAGUAAUUCAUAGAUUAAAAAUCAAAGGAUGGAAAAUAAUAGUCCAUCCAAUGAGAACUCAAAAACAAGCAGGAGUAGCUGUCCUGUUUUCAGACAAAAUGGACUAUAAGUAAAAACUUGAUCAGAAGAGGCAAAGAAGGUCAUUGCAUAUUGGUUAAGGGGACAACUCAACAGGAAGAGAUAGCAAUUAUAAACACAUAUGCAC